CAGUAUACAUCAUGUAUUAUAUAGUUCAAUUACCAUGUAUUUUGUCUCUCUUCUUUUUAACCCAGGCUAAUGUUCAUCACCACACUGCUUUGUCAUACUGUUGGUUCACUGGAAGAAAUUAUCGAUUCUCUGUCGUCUACUGUGGAAGAAUUAACAGAUCUGGCUAAACAAAGAAUUACUACAUUAGAAGGCCCUAUUUGUUCUAAACACGACGUGUAUCACUUCAUAGCGCCCACCUGUACCAAUGAAACACAAAUCAGGUAUAGAACUUCUUUACCGAUAGACUGUGCCGCUAUCUAUCAUCAAGUAAACCAAACAAACGGCGUCUUCAAGAUAUGGCCACAUUUUCUGAACCACCCAAUCUCUGUAUACUGUGAUAUGGAGACUGUAGGGGGAGGAUGAACGUUAAUUCAAAGAAGGGGCGAUUUUGGAGACCCGGUU